UACGUAGGGGGCUAGCGUUGUCCGGAAUCAUUGGGCGUAAAGAGCGUGUAGGCGGUCCGGUAAGUCCGCUGUGAAAGUCGGGGGCUCAACCCUCGAAUGCCGGUGGAUACUGUCGGGCUAGAGUGCGGAAGAGGCGAGUGGAAUUCCUGGUGUAGCGGUGAAAUGCGCAGAUAUCAGGAGGAACACCGAUGGCGAAGGCAGCUCUCUGGUACAUGAUUGACGCUGAGACGCGAAAGCGUGGGGAGCGAACAGG
rnacentral:rRNA from 1 species